rnacentral:rRNA from 1 species
AUGAACGCUAGCUACAGGCUUAACACAUGCAAGUCGAGGGGCAGCAUGGUCUUAGCUUGCUAAGACUGAUGGCGACCGGCGCACGGGUGAGUAACACGUAUCCAACCUGCCGUCUACUCUUGGACAGCCUUCUGAAAGGAAGAUUAAUACAAGAUGGCAUCAUGAGUCCGCAUGUUCACAUGAUUAAAGGUAUUCCGGUAGACGAUGGGGAUGCGUUCCAUUAGAUAGUAGGCGGGGUAACGGCCCACCUAGUCUUCGAUGGAUAGGGGUUCUGAGAGGAAGGUCCCCCACAUUGGAACUGAGACACGGUCCAAACUCCUACGGGAGGCAGCAGUGAGGAAUAUUGGUCAAUGGGCGAGAGCCUGAACCAGCCAAGUAGCGUGAAGGAUGACUGCCCUAUGGGUUGUAAACUUCUUUUAUAAAGGAAUAAAGUCGGGUAUGUAUACCCGUUUGCAUGUACUUUAUGAAUAAGGAUCGGCUAACUCCGUGCCAGCAGCCGCGGUAAUACGGAGGAUCCGAGCGUUAUCCGGAUUUAUUGGGUUUAAAGGGAGCGUAGAUGGAUGUUUAAGUCAGUUGUGAAAGUUUGCGGCUCAACCGUAAAAUUGCAGUUGAUACUGGAUAUCUUGAGUGCAGUUGAGGCAGGCGGAAUUCGUGGUGUAGCGGUGAAAUGCUUAGAUAUCACGAAGAACUCCGAUUGCGAAGGCAGCCUGCUAAGCUGCAACUGACAUUGAGGCUCGAAAGUGUGGGUAUCAAACAGGAUUAGAUACCCUGGUAGUCCACACGGUAAACGAUGAAUACUCGCUGUUUGCGAUAUACGGCAAGCGGCCAAGCGAAAGCGUUAAGUAUUCCACCUGGGGAGUACGCCGGCAACGGUGAAACUCAAAGGAAUUGACGGGGGCCCGCACAAGCAGUGGAGUAUGUGGUUUAAUUCGAAGCAACGCGAAGAACCUUACCAGGGCUUGACAUAUAAGUGAAUAAUUAAGAGAUUAAUUAGUUCUUCGGAACACUUAUACAGGUGGUGCAUGGUUGUCGUCAGCUCGUGUCGUGAGAUGUUGGGUUAAGUCCCGCAACGAGCGCAACCCCUGUUUCUAGUUGCCAGCACGUCAAGGUGGGAACUCUAGAAAGACUGCCGUAGAUAAUACGGAGGAAGGUGGGGAUGACGUCAAAUCAUCAUGCCCUUUAUGUCUUGGGCUACACACGUACUACAAUGGCGUUAAACAAAGAGAAGCAAGACCGCGAGGUGGAGCAAAACUCAGAAACAACGUCCCAGUUCGGACUGCAGGCUGCAACUCGCCUGCACGAAGUCGGAAUUGCUAGUAAUCGCAGAUCAGCAUGCUGCGGUGAAUACGUUCCCGGGCCUUGUACACACCGCCCGUCACACCAUGAGAGUUGGGGAUACCCGAAGCCUGUGAGCCAACAGUUUACUGAGGCAGCAGUCGAAGGUAGAAUCAAUGAUUGGGGUG